CGCCUCUAGGAUUACCAGGACCUCAGGCUGUAUGGGCUUUGGACAGAAUUUAAAACAGCUAAAUAGAAGAAAGAAAAAUACAAAAAUAGCUGAGCUUUCUGCAUGAUAUUUUGCUUUGGACCAUCCUUAAGUGAAUGGCUGUAUAAUACACCUCUAGAGAUAUACAGUGCCAGAUUAAAAGUGUGUUUCUCUUUCACAAAGAGAAUAUACAGCUAGAUUUCAGCCAAGAGUUUAAAAACAGGAAUGAAAAAUUAGGCUUCUAAAUUAGCAAUUAAAAACCUACCUGAAUUCCAAAAGUGCUGAAUGCCCAGGAGCUUGCAUACAAGUAAAUUGGAGAUGCUGGGUGCACAGGACACAAAUAAAGACCAUGCCUGUCCUGCCCUGAUAAGUUUACAGUCUAUGGUUAUGUCUUCAUUGCAGCAUUAACUCAUAUGGUCAGCACCCAGGUUUGCCUAAGCAGGGUGCAAGCAACCACACUGAAAAGUUGUAAUGCCACUUGGGUUGCUAGGAUUUCUGAGGGUUCAUCCCAGAGUUCUUUGUGCUGCAAUAAGAUGCUCUAUGAGUCAUUCCCACUGAAUUGUGGAAGAAUGUAUCUGUCCUAAUCCCCACUGGGGGAAUUGUGGGAAGGCAUUGGAGGAAUAACAGCACUCAAGUGAUUUUACCUAUGUCCUUGCUGCAAAGUGGGUGGUUUAUCAGCCUGAAUGAAAGCAGCACGGUGAUUCCAACCCAUACAGUCAGCAGGGCCUGCUAGCUGGGGUUAAAAGUGCCACCAAAUUUGGGUGAAAGGAUUUUGUGUAUGGAUGGGAGCAGGGCUGGUGCAUUAUCUGAUUAAGUGCUAACUCUGCAAUGAAGACAUACCCCUAAGGGCUAGCUAGAUUGUGCAGUUCAGGCAUAGCUAUCUGUUAGGAGUGGUGCAGAACUGGAUGAACUCAAUGAGGCUGAAUUCCUCCUUACCAGUACAAAAUCUACUGCUCCACUUUAAGGACUUCAGGCAACAUACUCUGCCCUCCUGCAUUUGCAGAGAGGCAAAGCCAUUGGUUAUGCCUAAUGCCCCAAUAGAUGUGGAUGGUAGCAAUCUCUCUGGACUGCAAUUAUGCCUGUCUCUUAUAUGUGCCACACAAAGGAGGGGGAAGCUCUUUAUUUCUGGUCCUCUCUCCCCGUACCCUGUGCAUCUGCAUAAGCGCAAGGCAUAAUCUAGCCCCCUAAAUGAGUUUACAAGCUCCUAUGAUUGUCUCUUGUCAUUAGUUUAGAUGCUUUAGAAAAGGGUAGGGAGAAAAACAUGCUCUUAUUUUGAGCGCCUCUGUCACAAGCACAGAUAGUAAAACCGAAAUAUUGAUACAAAUAAGAUUAGUCCUAGCUCCGGAAACAAAGGUAGUGCCUUUGGAACAAUUUACCAAUGGUCAUGAUGGAUUUUCCAUCACUGAGAACAAUUUUUAAAUCAAGAUUGGACUUUUUUCUAAAAAGUACGGUCUAGGAAUUUUUUUGGGGAAGUUCUAUGGCCUAUGGUAUACAAUAGGUCAUAAUGUGAUCACAAUAGUCCCUUCUGGCCUUAAAAUCAGUGAAUGUAUGAAUAUUUUGCAAUGAAGUAGAGAUGUAUCUUUUAUUAGCCAAUAUAUGCAGCCAUUUAAAAAAAAAUGUCAGUUCAAAGAUUCUUUCCUUUUUUUAAAGGAAAGGACAGCUGUAAUUCAGUGGACUGAUGACAGGGUAUAGGAGUCAGAAGUUCUAGGUUAUUCUCCUUCCCCUUCCUCUGACUUACUCUGUGUUCAUGGGAAGACCAUUUAAAUUCCCUGCCUCCAUUUCUUCAUGUUAUCCUCGUGACACUCUAUACCUCAGGGCAGUGCCCUGGAACCCCUCUAUCCACACCGUCAUAUGGCUAUGACAUAUUUCAUAUAGAGCAUGUCAGGGGGUUGACAUGUGAAAGGUCAUGAUUUCCAGAAGCCCAUUGUUCUGUCUGGGUAUGUGUAUCAUUGGUGGGGUGUGUGUGGGGGUGGGUGGGUGGGGGGUGGUUUGCUGUAUGGUUGUUACUGAAAUAUGCUGUAAGUUUGUUAGUGAUAUACAAAGGUGGCAAACCACUAUCAGGAGGGUGCUCAACGACCAUUAAUCAGCAGGGAAGUUGUAAUCAAGGGAUCUACAAUUCAAUGAGGGCUGCUCAAGCACCACACAAUGGGGACGGCUCAGAUCUAUGACUCAGUUGCACAAGACCACCAGUGGGAUUGCGCAACCCUGUGACUCAGCAAAGCCCGCCAGGACAUUUCUGGGCAAGUGUUUUCUAGGCACAUGGACUAAGGAUAUAAAAUAGAAGACUGUGGUAUCAUGUUUUUGCCUUUCUCUUCCCCCACCUACGCUGGAAGCAACAGGAAUGCCGAGAAAAUGAAGGUCAUCUGAGGAGACUGGUCCAGGUUUAAGGCGAAGCCUGUGCGUUAAGAGCUGUAACAUCCAGUGGGCUGCCCCUGUAAACUUUGCAUCUGCCAUCUCUGCCUGAAAGCAUGAAUCCUGCACUACUCACCAGUCAUGUGAUAAGUGUUAUGAACACAACACAGCUGAUUCUGCAGUAUUUCAUGAGCUGUGAAUCUGAAAAGGAAUCCAUGCUGCCUGCCCUGCUUUGUGCCAUGGAAAGAAAAUUCAAGACUGAUGUUGGCAUUCACAGAGCAGCUGCACACAGUGAACCGUCGCUAUUGGGCUUGAGAAACUAGCACUGAGUGAUGGGAUCAGAUUGUGAUGCAGGUACGGGAUCAUGAGCAGUGGCUGCAGAACUUUCAUAUGCACGAAGCCACCUUCCUUGAACUCUGAAUGGAGCUCGACCCUGCCCUGUGGCAUAAGGACACCAAAAUGAGAGCUGCCCUAAUGGUGGAAAAGCGAGUGGCAAUUGCUGUGUGGAAUCUGGCAGCUCCAGACUGCUACCGGUCAGUCACGAAUCAGUUUGGACUUGGGAAGUCCAUUGUGGGGGUGCAGUGAUGCAAGUGUGUAGGGCCAUUAAUCAAUCUCCUGCUAUGAAGGACUGUGACUCUGGACAAUUUGUGGGAAAUAGUGGAUGGCUCUGCGGCAAUGGAAUUUCCUUACUGCGGCAGGGCGAUAGAUGGCAUACAUAUCCCAAUUUUGGCCCCAGACAAUCUUGCAAUGGAAUACAUCAAUAGAAGGGGUUGCUUCUCUAUGGUAUUGCAGGUGCUGGUGGAUCUCCAAGGUUGUUUCACUGACAUCAAUGCACGGUGGUUAGGGAAGGUGCAUGGUGCAUAUAUCUUCAGGAACACUGGCUUGUAUAGAAAGCUGCAUGCAGGGACUGUGUUUGAAGACCAGAAGAUUUCAACAGGUGAUGUGGAAAUGCCCAUAGUGAUUCUGGGAGACCCAGCCUACCCCUUACUCCCGUGGCUCAUGAAGCCUUACACUAGAAACCUUGACAGCAGCAAGGAGCACUUCAACAACUGGCUCAACAGAUGCAGAAUGACAGUUGAAUGUGCAUUUGGUAGAUUACAUUGUAGCUGGCACUGCCUUUCUGGCAGGUUAGACCUUAAUGAGGAAAAUAUUCCCAUGGUCAUAGCAGCCUGCUGUGCUCUGCAUAACAUUUUUGAAACCAAGGGGGAAACAUUUCCCAAGAGGUGGAGGGUUGAGGUGGAUCACCUGGUGAGUGAUUUUGAGCAACCAGACACCAGGGUUAUUAGAGGGGCUCAACAGGGGGGUAUUUGAAUCAGGGAGGCUUUUAAGCAGCAUUUUGACAAUGAGCCCUAUUAAUUUGUCUGUCUGUAAUUGAUUCAGCCAGACAUUGUUUACCUACCACAUUGAACGACCCCUAUAAUGAUUCCUGCCUGAGCGUUAAUUAUAGUCUGCAAAUGUGCCAGUUGCCGCCGUGUAUGAAUUUCUAUUGCAACCACCCUGUGUAGGUCACAAAUAAAGAACCACUGUCUUUGUAA